rnacentral:rRNA from 1 species
UACGUAGGGGGGCAAGCGUUGUCCGGAUUUAUUGGGCGUAAAGAGCGUGUAGGCGGUUUGGUAGGUCCGCUGUGAAAACUCGAGCUCAACCUCGAGACGCCGGUGGAAACCAUCAGACUAGAGUCCGGAAGAGGAGAGUGGAAUUCCUGGUGUAGCGGUGAAAUGCGCAGAUAUCAGGAAGAACACCCGUGGCUAAGGCGGCUCUCUAGUACGGUACUGACGCUGAGACGCGAAAGCGUGGGGGAGCGAACAGG